rnacentral:rRNA from 1 species
AGGAUCAACGCUGGCGGCGUGCCUAACACAUGCAAGUCGAACGCGAAAGCCCCGCAAGGGGUGAGUAGAGUGGCAAACGGGUGAGUAACACGUGGGUGACCUGCCUUCGAGUGGGGGAUAACGUCCCGAAAGGGACGCUAAUACCGCAUGACAUCCUGCCUUUGGAGAGGCGGAGAUCAAAGCUAGGGAUCGCAAGACCUGGCGCUUGAAGAGGGGCCCGCGCCUGAUUAGCUAGUUGGUGAGGUAACGGCUCACCAAGGCAACGAUCAGUA